GCAAGCAGCAUGCUGAUAUUUCAGUAUUCCUUCGGCUCAACAGUUCAGAGUACAGUCACAGCAAGAAAAGCAACCCAUGUAACCAUGAGUAGCCUGAGAUUCAUUUCACUGGAUUUCCCAAGAAUUAUAUUUUAAUUUGAAAGACCAUUGAACUCCUUCUGAUCUGAAAUUGAAUGCUGUAGAGCUCCUUUAAACUGCUUCUGGCAUUUAAAUGGCAUUGAAGGAAAGGAUUUCACAGCAGAUUUAAAUGAUUUCUGAGAAACUGAUCCUGAACUGAUAGUUAUUUUGAGGUGAGCAUUUAGGAGAUUUUCUCCAUGGACAAAACUUUGUUGGCCAAUGGGAGCAACAAGAAAGAACAAGGAAAGCACAGGUCUUCUCAGGAUGGAGCAGGACACCUGCCCCGACUGCACCCUGCAUCUUGCAGGAUGCAGGAGCCCUGCCACGAUGAUACCUGCACCUCCACGAGCUGCUGGAGUUCCCGGCUUGCCAGGUCCAUCGCAGUAAGCAGCCUUUUUGCCUUCUUACGCUUGGCUUUUAAAUGGAAGGAAGACCGCGACCGCGUUCCCCUCACGGUGUAUCGUGGUGCCGCUCGAGACCCACGCAGGCCCGCCCGGCGCGAUCCCGGCCCGCUGUAGCCG
rnacentral:lncRNA from 1 species